rnacentral:rRNA from 1 species
GAUGAACGCUGGCGGCGUGCUUAACACAUGCAAGUCGAACGAACUGCUUUAAAGGAAGUCUUCGGGUGGAAUUUAAAGUAGUUAGUGGCGGACGGGUGAGUAACGCGUGGGAAACCUGCCCUAUACAGGGGGAUAGCCUCGGGAAACCGGGAUUAAUACCCUAUAAAACUCUAGUAUCGCAUGAUACAUGAGUCAAAGAUUUAUCGGUAUAGGAUGGUCCCGCGUCUGAUUAGCUAGUUGGUGAGGUAACGGCUCACCAAGGCGACGAUCAGUAGCCGGCCUGAGAGGGUGAACGGCCACACUGGAACUGAGACACGGUCCAGACUCCUACGGGAGGCAGCAGUGGGGAAUAUUGCACAAUGGGGGAAACCCUGAUGCAGCGACGCCGCGUGAGCGAAGAAGGCCUUCGGGUCGUAAAGCUCUGUCCUAAGGGAAGAAGAGGACGGUACCUUAGGAGGAAGCCCCGGCUAACUACGUGCCAGCAGCCGCGGUAAUACGUAGGGGGCGAGCGUUAUCCGGAAUUACUGGGCGUAAAGGGUGCGUAGGCGGCCUUUUAAGUCAGAUGUGAAAGGCUACGGCUUAACCGUAGUUAGCAUUUGAAACUAAGAGGCUUGAGUGCAGGAGAGGAGAGUGGAAUUCCUAGUGUAGCGGUGAAAUGCGUAGAUAUUAGGAGGAACACCAGUGGCGAAGGCGACUCUCUGGACUGCAACUGACGCUGAGGCACGAAAGCGUGGGUAGCGAACAGGAUUAGAUACCCUGGUAGUCCACGCCGUAAACGAUGAGUGCUAGGUGUUGGUGGGGACACCCAUCAGUGCCGCAGCUAACGCAUUAAGCACUCCGCCUGGGGAGUACGGUCGCAAGACUGA